UCCCCGUUAACCGGGGCAGUCCCCCUAGAGUUCCCGGCAUGACCCGUUGGCAACUAGGGGCGAGGGCUGCGCUCGUUGCGGGACUUAACCCAACAUCUCACGACACGAGCUGACGACAGCCAUGCAGCACCUGUGUUCUGGCUCCCUUUCGGGCACUUCCACAUCUCUGCGGAAUUCCAGACAUGUCAAGGGUAGGUAAGGUUUUUCGCGUUGCAUCGAAUUAAACCACAUCAUCCACCGCUUGUGCGGGUCCCCGUCAAUUCCUUUGAGUUUUAAUCUUGCGACCGUACUCCCCAGGCGGUCGACUUCACGCGUUAGCU
rnacentral:misc_RNA from 1 species